GCCUCCGUCGUAUAGUGGCUAGUAUAGGGGACUGUGGAUCCCCGGACGGGUGUUCGAUUCCCCCCGGAGGCC
rfam:Cenarchaeum symbiosum A, complete genome.